UACAGAGGGGGGCAAGCGUUGUUCGGAAUUACUGGGCGUAAAGGGCGCGUAGGCGGCCCGCUAAGUCGAACGUGAAAUCCCCAGGCUCAACCUGGGAACUGCGUCCGAUACUGGCAGGCUUGAAUCCGGGAGAGGGAUGUGGAAUUCCAGGUGUAGCGGUGAAAUGCGUAGAUAUCUGAAGGAACACCGGUGGCGAAGGCGGCAUCCUGGACCGGUAUUGACGCUGAGGCGCGAAAGCUAGGGGAGCAAACGGGG
rnacentral:rRNA from 1 species